AACGAACGCUGGCGGCGCGCCUAAUACAUGCAAGUCGAGCGAGAAGACGUAGCAAUACGUUUGUAAAGCGGCGAACGGGUGAGGAAUACAUGGGUAACCUACCCUCGAGUGGGGAAUAACUAGCCGAAAGGUUAGCUAAUACCGCGUACGCUCCUUGGACUUCGGUUCAGGGAGGAAAGCGAUACCGUGGGUAUCGCGCUCUUGGAUGGGCUCAUGUCCUAUCAGCUUGUUGGUGAGGUAACGGCUCACCAAGGCUUCGACGGGUAGCUGGUCUGAGAGGACAAUCAGCCACACUGGCACUGCGACACGGGCCAGACUCCUACGGGAGGCAGCAGUAAGGAAUAUUGGUCAAUGGAUGGAAGUCUGAACCAGCCAUCGCCGCGU
rnacentral:rRNA from 1 species